AACCUUUACACUGCACGACAGUGCGAUAGGGGGACUCCGAGUGCGAGGGCAUAGAGCCCUCGCUUUUGUACACCGUAAGGUGGUGUACGAAUAAGAACUGGGCAAGACCGGUGCCAGCCGCCGCGGUAAUACCGGCAGUUCGAGUGAUGGCCGAUUUUAUUGGGCCUAAAGCGUUCGUAGCUGGCCGAUCAAGUCUGUCGGGAAAUCUGCUCGCCUAACGAGCAGGCGUCCGGCGGAAACUGAUCGGCUUGGGACCGGAAGACUCGAGGGGUACGUCCGGGGUAGGAGUGAAAUCCUGUAAUCCUGGACGGACCACCGAUGGCGAAAGCACCUCGAGAGCACGGAUCCGACAGUGAGGAACGAAAGCUGGGGUCUCGAACCGGAUUAGAUACCCGGGUAGUCCCAGCUGUCAACGAUGCCCGCUAGGUAUGGCGCAGGCUACGAGCCUGCGCUGUGCCGUAGGGAAGCCGUGAAGCGAGCCGCCUGGGAAGUACGUCUGCAAGGAUGAAACUUAA
rnacentral:rRNA from 1 species